rnacentral:rRNA from 1 species
ACGAACGCUGGCGGCGUGCCUAACACAUGCAAGUCGAGCGGGGACAUGCGACGGAAGAGAAGUUUCGGAUGGAUCUGAAGAUGUAUGUUCUAGCGGCGGACGGGUGAGUAACGCGUGAGCAACCUGUCCUUCACAGGGGGAUAACACAGCGAAAGUUGUACUAAUACCGCAUAAGACCACGGAGAGACAUCUCUCAGGGGUCAAAGGAGCAAUCCGGUGAAGGGUGGGCUCGCGUCCGAUUAGAUAGUUGGUGAGGUAACGGCCCACCAAGUCGACGAUCGGUAGCCGACCUGAGAGGGUGAUCGGCCACAUUGGGACUGAGACACGGCCCAAACUCCUACGGGAGGCAGCAGUGGGGAAUAUUGGGCAAUGGGGGGAAACCCUGACCCAGCAACGCCGCGUGAGGGAAGAAGGUUUUCGGAUCGUAAACCUCUGUCCCAGGUGAAGAGCAAGAGACGGUAACCUGGGAGGAAGCCCCGGCUAACUACGUGCCAGCCGCAGC